GAAAUUAAAGUUAUUUCUUAUGGGCUAGACAGUAUAUUGCCAGGUAUUGAAGACAGGAUUUAUCUUCUCUACUUCUUCUUUUAGAAGCAGAUCAAGAAACUGGCGAUUGAAGAGUAACUGAAAGAAACGCAAUCUGAUCUUACUAGCAGUGAAAGAGCGAGUGGAGGAAACAGAUGAAGGAAACAGCUUACACCAAGAUUUCAGAUACGAUCAUUUUGAAUAGCUAUUUCCUUUACUUUCCAGGAUUG
ensembl:lncRNA CALCRL-AS1 CALCRL and TFPI antisense RNA 1